rnacentral:rRNA from 1 species
CCUACGGGUGGCUGCAGUCGAGAAUCUUCGGCAAUGGGCGAAAGCCUGACCGAGCGACGCCGCGUGCGGGAUGAAGGCCUUCGGGUUGUAAACCGCUGUCAGAGGGGAUGAAGUGUCCAUGGGUUCUCCCAUGGAAUUGACAGAUCCUCAGAGGAAGGGUGGGCUAAGUUCGUGCCAGCAGCCGCGGUAAGACGUACCACCCGAACGUUAUUCGGAUUCACUGGGCUUAAAGAGUCCGUAGGCGGCCUAGUAAGUUGGAUGUGAAAUACCUCGGCUCAACCGAGGAACGGCAUUCAAAACUACUGGGCUUGAGAGAUACAGAGGUGAGCGGAACUGAUGGUGGAGCGGUGAAAUGCGUUGAUAUCAUCAGGAACACCGGUGGCGAAAGCGGCUCACUGGGUAUCUUCUGACGCUGAGGGACGAAAGCUAGGGGAGCGAACGGGAUUAGAUACCCCUGUAGUC